rnacentral:rRNA from 1 species
UACAUGUGGGGCAAGCGUUGUUCGGAAUUACUGGGCAUAAAGGGUGCGUAGGUGGUUUGUUUAGUCAGGGGUGAAAUCCCACGGCCCAACCGUGGAACUGCCUUUGAAACUGGCGAACUUGAGUGCGUGAGGGGUAGGAGGAACGAGCAGUGUAGCGGUGAAAUGCGUAGAUAUUGCUCGGAAGGCCGGAGGCGAAGGGGUCCUACUGGUACGUAACUGACACUGAGGCACGAAAGCGUGGGGAGCAAACAGG